GCCGUGUGCCCUGGCACUGAGCGGCCGCGGCCAUGGCGUACGCCUAUCUCUUCAAGUACAUCAUAAUCGGCGACACAGGUGUUGGUAAAUCAUGCUUAUUGCUACAGUUUACAGACAAGAGGUUUCAGCCAGUGCAUGACCUUACUAUUGGUAAGUUUUAUAAAAGGGAUGAGAAGCAUUGAAAGUUUUGGAUAGUUUAAGUGGAAAAUGCUAGAAGGUCCAUUCUACUAGUGAUGAUGCUAAAAUCAGUGAAACUGGAUUUGUUGUUAUGCCAUUUAGUCUCUGUCACUUUUUAAAAAAUAUGUGUAGUAAAAAUAAAUAUUACCCAUCUUUGUAGAAGUGGUUAGCAUGCUGAAAGACAGUAGUUUUUAAGAUGUCAAUUGUAAUUAACGAUGAAACAAUUAAGGGACAGUAUCCAAGCAUGAUAAGAGCAGAAACUUUGACUCAGCUUGCUGGAAGUUAAAUCAAGUCUCUGCUGCUAACUUGCUGUGCAAGCCA
rnacentral:sRNA from 1 species